rnacentral:rRNA from 1 species
UGCCGUGAGGUCCAGGUGGGCGAGGCGGCCUUCUGGACUGACACUGACACUGAGGUGCGAAAGCGUGGGUAGCAAAAGGUAUAUAGAUACCCUGGUAGUCCACGCCGUAAACGAUGUCAACUAGCCGUUGGGUCCCUUGAGGACUUAGUGGCGCAGCUAACGCAAUAAGUUGACCGCCUGGGGAGUACGGCCGCAAGGUUAAAACUCAAAUGAAUUGACGGGGGCCCGCACAAGCGGUGGAGCAUGUGGUUUAAUUCGAUGCAACGCGAAGAGCCUUACCUACCCUUGACAUCCAGAGGACUUUCCAGAGAUGGAUUGGUGCCUUCGGGAACUCUGAGACAGGUGCUGCAUGGCUGUCGUCAGCUCGUGUUGUGAAAUGUUGGGUUAAGUCCCGCAACGAGCGCAACCCCUAUCCUUAGUUGCUAGCAGGUAAUGCUGAGAACUCUAAGGAGACUGCCGGUGAUAAACCGGAGGAAGGUGGGGACGACGUCAAGUCAUCAUGGCCCUUACGUGUAGGGCUACACACGUGCUACAAUGGCGCAUACAGAGUGCUGCGAACUCGCGAGAGUAAGCGAAUCACUUAAAGUGCGUCGUAGUCCGGAUUGGAGUCUGCAACUCGACUCCAUGAAGUCGGAAUCGCUAGUAAAUCGCGUAUCAGAAUGACGCGGUGAAUACGUUCCCGGGCCUUGUACACACCGCCCGUCACACCAUGGGAGUGGGUUGCUCCAGAAAGUAGAUAGUCUAACCCUUCGGGAGGACGUUUACCACGGAGUGAUUUCAUGACUGGGGGUGAAGUUCGUAACAAAGGUAACCC